CUAACUAGAUAAUAUAUUAUCUCCUUAGAUUUCGGUGAUAUUUUUUUUAAGUUUUUUUUAGUUACGGUUGGAGAUCUUUCAAGUCGCAUGAAUUCAAUUUUUGUGACAGCCAGUACAACCAAAAAAGGAAGAACGCAAUAAAAAUUUUCUCAAUUGUAUUCGGGUUUUCAAGUCAUCUGAUGUUGGGUUUCUAGGUUUUCCGCUUGUGGUCGUAGUUGUUAAUUUUAUUUCCUAAUCUUAGAGGUCUAUGAUUUUUUAUAUUUAGACUUUGAGCAUAUGUAAUGCCUUCUUUUAUCAAU
rnacentral:lncRNA from 1 species